rnacentral:lncRNA from 1 species
AUUUUGGUAUAAAUACUCACACAACCUACUGUUUCCUGAAAAGCGAGCAGCGAAUAUAUCAACUCUGCUAGACACAAACUCAAACCCAAACCCAAUGAAGAGAAGAAGAGCGACCUUUCAAUCUGUGGCCAACCAGGUAAAACCUUUCAAAUUGAGGAAGCACCUGAUUGCCCCCAUAAUCACCUCAAAGUUGUAGAAAUAGUUGGCUAUCGAGCUCAUACAACUGGUGUUGAACAUGUCAUGUAUUUGGUAAAGAAUGUUGUUGCACUGGAGAAGGUUGUUGUUGAUCCUGUCCGGAGAUGGAGAUAUCCUCAUGGAGUGGAUAGGCCAGAUACAGAACUCGAUAAAGAAGCCAAGGCUAGAGAUCAUGCUAAGGAAUACCUUAAACCAAAAAUACCUGCAACUGUAGAAUUUGUGUGCCUGUAGGAUGAAUAAUCAGACAUGUCAUUGUACCAUAAGAUGAGUUGUUUUAGCGAAGGGUCUGCCUUUUUAUUCAUUAUAUUACUCAUUUCAUUGUCAUGCAUAACCUGACUGCCAACUGGGGAUGUUUAAUAUUAGAAACUGCUCAAAUUUAAGCACCCAUUCUGCUGGAAAAUUUCUUUCCAUCAACUUCUCACUCAAAACCCAGAAUCCAACAAGUGAAACAGUACAAUAGGUGUGGUGGAUAGGGGAGUGCAAAAGGUUCUUACUAGAACAGUAGAACCCCUUGUCUUCUAGUAUUGGGGUUUAUUGAUUUCUAAUUUCUGGAUGAUGAGAUGUGGAGUCUACCGUGCUUCAGAGAUCUGAAGAAUUGCUAGGGGAAACAAUGAUAAUGUUCAGAAUGUAUGCACAACAAUAGAAACAAAAGACUGCAUUUACUCCUAAGUCAACCAUCCUCGUUACAUAUUUAGUAAUCAGUUACAAGAUUUUCAUGUCAUCUGCUGCAGUUUGAGGUUGAACCAAAAUGUAGAUUGACAUACAUGUGUCCAAAAACAGCACAAACUUGACAUCUAAUGUACUGGACAGAAUUGGCUCUAACAAAUACUCCCUUCCUCACUGACUCAUCAAAUGAUGUCAAGAUUCUGACCCUCAGCAAUCUGGGACUCAACUGAGCAUUUGGAACAAUAUGACCUAAAACAUCAUCCACAGUCUUCAAUGCGGCUUCCCAAUUGAGUUUGGCUCAUAAUCCUCUUCAAGUCUGCCAUAGUAGAGCUCGGGUCGACCAUGAUUUCAACAUAUUCUUUCUCCCCUAAAACAGUGACCUUGAUACGCCAUUCGUGCUGAGAGCAUACCAGAAUAACAGCCCCAUCACCAAUCCCAUUCUCAUACAAGUUUAGAUGAAUCUAACCUUGUAUGAACUAGGGUCCAAAAGGAGAAUUGGGGAGGAAGAGGCAGUCGUCCUUCCUUCCUUAGAUCACCCCUCAAAUCCUCCAGUGUGGCACAAGAAUCAACAUAGAAGUCACCACCAACUACCUAGUGUGAAGCAAUAGGAGCUUGUCCAGAUACAACUUCGGGAUUUUUACCAGCAACGAAAGCAUGUCCAGAAAUAAAUCGCACCUUGAUUUUAGCGUUGAUAAUCUUCUUGUAUGUAUUUCUCUUUGCAUAAUCCACUUCACCAAUCAAAUUAGAGGGCUCAAACCUGAAAAGAAAGGGCCAUACAUUUAGAAGAAAAAAUAGGUACACUGUAUUAAAUGGCUACUCCCACAACUUAAAGAAUAUGAUACUGUGAUCGUGAUGUUUGGAACUACAUGUUUGAUAUAUGCACAGAGAGAGAGAGAGAGAGAGAGAGAGAGAGAGAGAGAGAGAGAGAANNNNNNNNNNNNNNNNNNNNGAGAGAGAGAGAGAGACGAAACAUACUGUAGCAGCAGAUUCUUCGUCACCGUUGCUCAUGGCCUCCUUGUGUUUUCUCUUAUAUGUUUCCUUGACCUUGUCAAACCCCUCAAUCGGGUUCACACCGAGAAUCUGGUAAACAUAAAAAAUCACAAAUGCACAACCAUCAAUCAGAUCCCCUCAGUCACUUGCAAAACCAAUUUCAAGUGUCUACAAUACAACAAACUUACCUCAUACGGAUUUAAACCACUGUCCGAAUUAGAACUUCCAGCUGCAGACGCAGCGGCCAACACUAUCCUUCUAUUCUGCGGAAUUGCUCUAGAAAACAGGAUAAGUUUAAACCUCUGUUGCUAUACUUAAAACAUUAAAAGCAUAAACAAACCAACAACCUGAACAAAGCUCUUGUAUAAUUGUAGUCCAAUUUUCCUAAAAACCCAAUAACACUAUCUCUACCAACUUCUUAUUUCUACAUACAGAUUACCCUUAACAACUACAUAUGUAUAUAUUUCAAGUUUUCAACCCAUAAAUAACCAAAUAAGCUUAACAAACUAGUUGCAUGAUUGUAGUAAACUUAACCUCACAAACCCAAUAACCCAAAAACUAACAAACAACCACAUUUUGACAUAAAGCCACAGAAUUUGAGCAUUUGAACAAAACCCAGAACAUAAAAAGGUGAACUUUAUCGAAAGUGAACUUGCUUACCUGAAAUUGGGAGGUGAGAAACUCAGGGGUGGAGCUUUAGGGCGGAAGUUUCUUUGGGGAAACUGCAGUUUGGGGCAGAGAAGAGCAUGGGAAAUUGCUAAAGCCAUUAGCUUUGGUAGAGAAUUGAGGUGGGUUUUGGACUAGUGGGUUUAGGGUUUAUAAAGUUUUGAGCUUUGAGAUCAAAGACGUGAAACUGGGAAUGUGUUUGGAGUUGGAGUUUGGUUCUUAGGAUAACAAAGAGGGGAAAUUACAAUGCCGCGAACCUAUUGGGGCAAAAUACUAAAUACUAAAAACUGAGGGGUCCAAGUUCUCUAUAUAUUUAAUUGCACUAGUUAACAACUUGCACGUCACCCUUCUCUUUUUUUCUUCUAGAAAAAUUGCUUUUGUUUUUAUUACUGGUUUUACUGUACUAUCAUACAAUAGGUUUUUGAGUUGUAGAAAUUAAAUAAAAAAAGGACAAUAGAAGGAAUUUCUGAAAAUUUAACCAUUGACCGUUACAUAAGACAAAUUGCCUUAAUUAAUAGAGACUAGCCUCUUACCCGUGCAUCUGCACGGGGAUCAAAAAAUGGAAGAAAGUGUACUUGAACUGCUCCACUUUAUGUGGGAUGAAUCUGUUAAUCCUAUCAUUUUGUAGAUAACUGCUCCCCAAAAAGUGGGAUAAAACUGCCACAUACUUUUUCUUUUUUUCAGUGGUGUUUUACGGUUAAACUCAUAGUAACUAUUAUUUUUAUUGUUUGAGAAUUUUCUGCUACCUUGGUUUUUUGGCCAAUUGAAAAAAAGGCCUCACCAAAGACACCAAAGCCACGCCUGGCUUUCUAAUAGUAAAGAUAUGUUAUUAACCAUAUGACUUUUGUUAUGUUAGUGACCGACUGCAAUGCUCUUAAGAAUGUAUCAUUGUUUGUCGACAUUAUUUUAUGUCCGGCAUGACUUGUUAUAAUUGAUCAAUUGAAGAGCAUCCACAACUUAGAUAUCACAAACUUCCCUUUUGAUAAGCACCAAAAUGAAUUGUCGAUCCUUGUCAAUUAUCUGGAUAAUUGGUGUUAUAUUGGUAAGAUGACAUGAACAUUUUUCUCUAUUUGAUUUUAGUUUUCGAUGUGAAGACGUGAAAUGGAAACCGCCGUUGGUUUCUGACAACAACAACUAAGCUGUUACGCACCUUUUAUUUUGUCUCAAGAUCACAUGAUAUUCAUAAUUCAAGUGUUACCUAUGCUGAAUAAAACAAACACUUGAAAAAUGAGGUGGCUAUGGCUAUCGCUAUAGGUGAACUAAGUAUGGUGAUAAUUAUCGCUUUUUAAAUUAAUUAGGAAAUGUAAUUUGAGCACGAAAAGUGAUGAAUGUUGAAUCAUAUAUUACGACUAAGAAAUUUAAUUCUCUUUCACCCUAAAAAAAAGGAAUUGAUUUCUCUUAAUGUCUUUUAAUAAAAUAAAUAAAACAUAGAUUCAAUUCCUAGUUUUUUUUUUGUUUUUUUUUAAGAAUGAUUAAAUUCCUAGUUGGAAUUUAUAAAUAAACAAUAAAUUUACUUAUUUUACUUUUCAAUAAUAAAAUAAAUAAAUUGGCUAUAAAUACACACACAACCUUCUCACUUCUUGUCGAAAAAAAAAAAAAAACCUACGCUUCUCACUCAAAAGCGACCAGCGAAGAUAUCUUUGCUCUGAGAAACCCAAUGAAGAGAAGAAGAGCAACCCUUCAAUCUGUGGUCCAGGUAAAACCUUCUACACCAUUUAAUUUGGUUAUGUUUUUAUUUCAAGGUAUCUAAACGCUAAACUAUCAAAAUCGUAGUUCCCAGAUACGUUAAUGGUGUAUAGUCUGCAUCUUUCUUGUUGCCCAGAUUGCAUUGCAUGCACAGGACUCUGUUUACAUACAAAGUUUGCAUCUUUUUUACUGCCCAGAUUGAUAUUGCAUGCAUACAACUCUGUUUCACUUGAUAGAUUGAAAAUUGCAUCCUGUUAUUUUUAGUAGUAUGUUAAGUGAGUAGAAUAUAGUUCCCAGAUAAGUAACUGCUUUGAUUUUGGAUUGAAAAUUUCAUAUCUGUGUUUCUCAGACUUUUAAGAACAGAGAAUUUAAUUGACUGAUAAGUAAUUAGUUGAAAACUUGUUACCUUUUCUAUUUCUUACUGGGUGCAUUUACAUUUUGAUGGUUUAAUUUUUUAGGUUGAGAACAAGGGUAAGAGGAGAAGGAAAAGUAGGGACGAAUACGAUAAGUUGGACAGGAUCAGUGCAUUGCCUGAUGACGUUCUUGUUUAUUUAGUGUCCCGUUUGCCGCUAAAGGAAGCAGUAGCUACCAGCGUCCUUUCUAGGCGAUGGCAGAAUGUGGGACUGUCUACUAAGACCCUUAGGUUUGAUGCUGAUGACUUAUCAAUUGACAAUAAUUUCCAGAGCUACUGGCGCCAAACAAAGGAAUAUAUAGAGCAGGGAAGAUGGAAAUACAUCAAUUGGGUGAAUCAUAUGCUGCAACAGCAUAGAGGCAAACAUGUAGAAGAAUUCAGUGUUAGCUUCUGCUUAGAUAGUCGCUUUUCAAGUCUGAUUAAUGGAUGGAUUCAAUUUGCAAUGGAAAACAGUGUUGAAAAGCUUGAAUUGGACUUUCAACCAGAAGUUUCUAUUGGUUAUAAGUUUCCAAGUAUGGGCUCUUGUUUAUACAAUAUUGGUUUCAAGUCCCUCAAAGUUCUUCAGAUUCGACAUGUUGGUGUUACUGGAGAAGUUCUCGAGUAUUUGUUGUCCAGCUGUCCAUUACUCGAGAGAUUAUCAGUGAGUUGCACAACUGAUUUGGUUAAUUUAAGAGUUGUUGGUCCAUCAAUUGCAUUGAAGUAUCUGGUCAUACGAUAUUGUGGUAACCUGAAAAGCAUUGAAAUCAGAGACGUAAACAUCGUCUCAUUUAUUUAUAUUGGAUAUGUUUCCAUAAACUUAGUUAUCAGUAAUUUACCAUUGCUAUCUGAGGUAAAGAUUUCGAAGGAGACAUGGCAUAAGGAUUACUUAAGUGUUUUGUUUACCCAAUGCUGUCUUUCCAACAUAGAGAUUCUGAAGCUGCAUAUCCACGGAGCGGUUAGUGCAUGCUGUUAUUAUUGUCAGUUUACUUUUAUCCUCUUUAGGUUAUAGUUUCUCACUCUUUGUUUCUUUGGCUUUCAGGUCUACACUGAUAAUCCUGCAUUGCCUCUAUUCGCAAGUCUGAAGCAUUUGGAAUUACAAGUAAUAUCAAAUUAUUAUAGGGCACUUUAUCAUUUAUAUAACUUCCUGAAGGCAUCUCCUUGCUUGCGGAGACUCGUGUUGCAGGUAUGUUGAUUACGCAGUAAAACUUGGUAGAUGUAUUUUUCUGCUCAUUUACUUUCCUAUUUUGAAGAAACAAAAGUAAUAACAGAAAAUGGAAGUUAAAUUUUCUGUGGUAUCUAUAAACUAUGCUAAUAGAAUUGAUGUAUGUUCUCAUGCAGUUGCAGCUAUAUGAAGUGGGUCCAUGUUGCCUGGAAAUUGGAGAAAUUGAGAAAGCACCUGAUUGCCCCCAUAAUCACCUCAAGGUGGUAGAAAUAGAUGGCUAUCGGGCUCAUACAUCUGCUGUCGAACAUGUCAUGUAUUUAAUAAAGAAUGUUGUUUCACUGGAGAAACUUGUUAUUGAUCCUGUGCGGAGAUGGAGAUUCCCUCAUGGAGUGGAUAGGCCAGUUACAGAAAUCAAUGAAGAAGUCAAGGCCAGAGAUCAUGUUAUGGAAUACCUUAAACCAAAAAUACCUGCAACUGUAGACU